rnacentral:rRNA from 1 species
UACAGAGGGUGCGAACGUUGCUCGGAAUUACUGGGCGUAAAGCGCGUGUAGGCGGGACGAUAAGUCGGAAGUGAAAUCCCCGGGCUCAACCCGGGAACUGCUUUCGAAACUGCCGUCCUCGAGUACCGGAGAGGGUGGCGGAAUUCCUGGUGUAGAGGUGAAAUUCGUAGAUAUCAGGAGGAACACCGGUGGCGAAGGCGGCAUCCUGGACCAACACUGACGCUGAGGAGCGAAAGCCAGGG